rnacentral:lncRNA from 1 species
UCUCCGAUUUUCUCUCUCCAUCGUCUCAGAUUUCAGCUCUUGGAGCGGUUUCGUCCUUCGGUCAGUUAUGACUAACGAAAACGAUUCUGGUGCAAGUGGAAGUUGAGUACGGUUCUUGUGCUUUUGGUCUCCCCUCGGCUGGGAUUUGGAGGGAUCUGUCGACAGAGCUCCACAAUCUCUGUAGUCUGAUGCCAUCAUAAACCCAAACCCUUUGCAACUUUCUACAUUUUGCUCAAUUUUAAUGGCAUCAACUAGCAAAAUGCCUAGCACUUCUGAGGAUGAUCUAGAAGAGGAGGUAUUUUUCCAGUGGCUGGUACAUUUGUUCUUUAACUAUCAUUGUUAGCAGCACUAUAAUAUUUAGUCGAAGAAAUCAUGAUGUCAGGCACAACAUCAGAGAGCUACAUAGUAUCAAGAUAUUGUUAGAUCGACAAUAAUGUUGCAAGGCCUGUUCAGUUUUCUGAAAAGUAUUUUACUAUUACAAACUAAGGGUGUGUUUGGCAUAACGAAAAUGUUUUCCGUGCAAAAUGUUUUCUUGGAAAACAUGUAAUAAUUUUAUUCAUUUUCUGGUAUUUGGUACACUUAAGGAAAAUAACUUCUCAAGAGUAUUCAUAAAUAAUUUAGAUAUAAUAAACAUGAAGCCAUAAACUUUCGAACCAACAACCUUCCGAACUCACAAAUUUAUAAACUUCCGAGCCGCUAAACUUUCGAAACCGGGAACUUUCGAACCCGUAAACUUUAUAAACCCAUAAACUUCCAAACUCUAACUUUGUAACUUGUAAAAUUUCGAACCUGUACAUCGAAACAUGAAAAAAUUAAAAGUAUAUAAAAAAUAUUUUCUUUUUUCGGGGGGUGGGGUGUACAUAAAACAAAAAACCGAAAUUUGAAAUUACAAAAAAAACAGAAAUUUGAAAAUUACAAAAUAAAAAAAGUAAAAAGAAACCCCUUUUUUGUGCAGGGUGGGGGGGCAGUGGGGGUGGGGUUUGGCGGGGUGGGGGAUGGUGGUGCAAAAAAAAUAAAAAAAACAGAAAAUUGAAAUUACAAAAAAAAAAUUAAAAAAAAAUAAUUUUUUCGGGGGUGGGGUGGAUGAUAGUAGGCUAGGUGGUGACGGAAAUAAAAAUUGAAAUUUGAAAGAAAAGCCUUUUUGGAGAGAGGGGGUGGUGGGUAGGCGUGGGCAUGGGUGUGAGGGUGUGGGUUGGUGAGGAUAGAGAAUAGGGUGAGGAAGGUUGAGAAAGUUUUGGAAAAUGUUUUCCUUCUCUUGAUAAGGAAAACAUUUUCCUUCAAUUGAAGAAAAAUGAGUUCAUAAGGGAAAUGUUUUCCAAAACAUUUAAGCCAACCAAAAAUGUGAAAAUUGGAAAAUAUUUUCCGGAAAAUAUUUUCCAAUUUUCACAUGACACACCCUAAAUCAUCUAUUCAACCAAAAGCUUACACUCAAUUGAAAUACAAACUCAAAUACAAUAAGCACCAAAUAAAUGCAACUCAGAACAUGUAGAUUACACAUGGUAGGUCGAGAUUUCUGAACUUCAAAUUAGGCGUUUCUACGAUUUAAAUUUUCAUGAGAGCUUCUGUUGUGGUCGUAAUGUUGUUGAAGUUUUGUCUAUGUAAAGCUCACUCUUAUAUCCUUCUCAAAUAUAAUAAUUCUGGUUGUCCUUGUGGUUGUAGCAGCAUGCAACCUACAAUAACACUAUCAGUAUUUAAGCAUUAUGGCACUAUUCAACUCCCAGAUGUAUUUGAAGACAGAUUACAAAAGAACAUGUAAAUAUGAGAAACACUAUAAAAAAUAUUGUAUUUCAAAUCACUGCUCCUACAAAUCAUGACAAUUCUUGCUCAUAGCCAUGAUAUUCCUCCAGGACUCACGACGGUAAUCUCAUUUCAUACUCAUGCCAUUACAAAUUUGUAGUGGUUGUGUUGUAUGCUCCGAAAACCAUAGAGGUUUGAGCUUCCUUGAGGUUAUCACCUUCUUUGCAAGUCUCUCCCUCUUUCCUUAUACAAUAAUCAAAGCAUGCUGAACAAAGUUUAAGAAAGUUGGACUGAAGAGAUUAUCAAUCAACAAAAUAGAAUCAACAAAAAGUGGAAAAAGAGGUCAAUGAGAGACUUUGAAUCUGUUUUAAAGGUUAUUAUGCUUAUACAUAAUAAUUUUGGUUCCAAUGGUCGGUGCACUAUUUUCAGUCUGUAAAAUAUUCUACAGUUCUUCUAUUUGCUCUACUUUAGCUUCCACAAUAUCUGAAAUUUGAUAAAACAUUCCAGAAACAAAAGAGAUACAAAACUCAAGUCCCACAAAUCAGAAUAAAGGAUGUCAACAAGAACAUCAAAUAUGCAAAUAAAAUAUCCUUUAUGUGCAAGGAGAAAACGAAGAACGACAAGUCAUUAAAGACAACUUUUGUGUUAGCCAAAUAAACAAACGCAUACCUUUUUCAAGUCAUCAGCUAAUAUCAAAGAACUUCCACUUAUUCAUGUGACCGAAGCUCGUCGUUAGUAGGCAAAAGCCCUUCACUUCAAAACAAUCAAUCAGGACUGACGCCAUCUUCGCUUCUUCUGAUUAUUGAAAGUGAACGUUAAAGCUUUGAAGCAAAUCUUCAAGCAUUCCUUUCAAGUCAGCUAAUCAAAUAUAAUUUUUAUUCCCAAAUGCUCCAAAAAAGAAUCUGAUAACAGUCCUAGGCAAUAGGGCACUAAAUCUCUCCAUAUAAACUACAAAGAGAAUGACACCUAUUUGCAAGAAAGAAAAGUCUCAUAUAUUUCUAACAUCCAUGUAAAAUUCUAUUGUGGAUAUUAACUUAUCUUUUCAUCAAUCAUCUUAAUAUAUGAUAUGUACUCAAAUAGGUUAGCAGACACAUUUUAUCUAAACAAUACUACUCAUAAAGUGAUAUGCACAAGUAUUAUUUGUUCAAAAGAAUGAAAAGUUCUUCCAACUAUUAGCAAUAACUACUGCACCCAAUCUUUCUUGCAGCUUGGUUGAACAUUAAGCAUACCUUGCUAUAGCAAAUUACAAAAGGUAACGAUAUCUUUGCCAUAAAAAGAAGUCCUUGCCCUUCUGUUCUUAUUAUAGAAAUUAAAUAAGUUAAAGCUUGAUGCAAAGCUCAGUACAUAGAAAUUAGUUAUUCCACUCUUGAGAUGUCAAUCAAGAAACAGGAACAUUGUACACUGAUUCUUCAGCUUUUAAACUCCAAUAGCAAAGCAUGAAGACAGACAGAGACAACCCUAGUUGUAGCCAAAACUAUAAUUUUUGACCAGAUUUUAGCUCAGUACAAAGUGAUAAUUUUUGACCAGAUUUUAGCUCAGUACAAAGUGAUCCUUAUAUGGAUAUAUAUGUAGAGAGCAUAUGACAGUGGACAGAGAAAUUACUCUCCCACAUAAGUACUCCAAAAACAACUGAUAAUAGAUUCCAUCUUGCACGCAAUUCAGUUGGGUAAUGGAAAUUAUAAAAGAAUAAGACAAAAAGGAAAGAGCUACCAACGCAAUUCAAAAAAUGACUUCAAAACUAAGGUGUUAAAGAGCUGUCAAGGCGUCAAAAAACCACCACUGUUUUUUUUUCUUCCUUUUGAUAGGUAAAGACAAUCACACAGUUAAUAAACCCUCAUCCAUGCAAAUCAUUACGAUAUAUGAGAAAAAAACACAUAAAAGAGUGAAAUUUUUCAUCAAAUGCGAAGAGUAUAAAAUAAGUGGCAAAGACAGAGUGUGACAUUCAUCGAGAGACCAACUUCACCAGAAAUAUUGAGAAUGAAAUGUUAUUGAAAUAAAUUGAUGAAGCACCAACUGUGCCCAUUGUGAUUCAACACAGUUAUUCAGGAGUUNNNNNNNNNNNNNNNNNNNNNNNNNNNNNNNNNNNNNNNNNNNNNNNNNNNNNNNNNNNNNNNNNNNNNNNNNNNNNNNNNNNNNNNNNNNNNNNNNNNNNNNNNNNNNNNNNNNNNNNAGGACUUUCAGACUAAGGAUCUGGGCAGAUUAAAGUAUUUUCUAAGUAUUGAGGUCGCUCAGUCUAGCUCAGGUAUUGUGAUUUCACAAUGGAAGUAUGCCUUAGAUAUUCUUGAGGAGACAGGAAUGAUAGGUUGUAGACCUGUUGACACUUCGAUGAAUCCGAAUUCUAAACUUCUGCCAGGACAGGGGGAGCCUUUUAGCGAUCCUGCAAGAUAUAGGCGGUUGGUUGGUAAAUUAAAUUACCUCACAGUAACUAGACCUGACAUUUCCUUUCAUGUGAGUGUUGUGAGUCAGUUUAUGGAUUCUCCCUGUGAUAGUCAUUGGGAUGCAGUUGUCCGCAUUCUUCGGUAUAUAAAAUCAGCUCCAGGCGAAGGCUUAUUGUUUGAGGAUCGAGGCCAUGAGCAGAUCGUUGGAUGCUCAGAUGCUGAUUUGGCAGGGUCACUUUCUGAUAGACGUUCUACGUCUAGAUAUUGUGUCUUAGUAGGAGGAAAUUUGGUGUCUUGGAAGAGCAAGAAACAGAAUGUGGUUGCUCGGUCUAGUGCAGAAGCAGAAUAUUGAGCAAUGGCUAUGGCCACAUGUGAGUUAGUUUGGAUCAAACAGUUGCUCAAGGAGUUGAAAUUUGGUGAGAUUAGUCAGAUGGGACCUGUGUGUGAUAAUAAAACUGCUCUUCAUAUUGCGUCAAAUCCAGUGUUUCAUAAGAGAACUAAACACAUCGAGAUUGACUAUCACUUUGUUAGAGAAAAGAUACUCUCGGGAGAUAUUGCUACAAAAUUUGUGAAAUCGAAUGAUCAGCUUGCUGAUAUUUUCACCAAGUCCCUCACUGGUCCUCGUAUUAGUUAUUAGUUAUAUAUGUAACAAGCCCGGUACAUAUGAUUUAUAUGCACCAGUUUGAGGGGGAGUGUUAGUUUCAUUGUAUAAAUAGUAGUAAAUAACCCUAAUCCUAUGUGUAUUAGGAGUAGGGCGUGUAUUGUAUAUAUAAGGCUCAUUGUAUUAUUGUCAUUUUUAAUCAAUAAUAUAUUUUUUCCCGUGCUUUCUCACAAUGAGGAUGCUGAGAUGGAUGUGCGGGCACACCAGAUUAGAUAGAAUUAGGAAUGAAGUUAUUGGGGAUAAGAUGAGUGUGGCUCCUAUUGAGGACAAGAUGCGGGAAGCGCGACUUAGAUGGUUUGGACAUGUGAGGAGGAGAAAUACAGAUGCCCCAGUAAGGAGGUGUGAGAGAUUGAUAUUGGAGGGCCUCAGGAGAGGUAGAGGUAGGCCGAAGAAGAGUUGGGAUGAGGUGAUUAGGCAUGACAUGGCGCAACUACAGCUGACCAAGGACAUGACCCGUGAUAGGAAGGUGUGGAGGUCGAAGAUUAGGAUAGUAGGUUAGGUAGUCUAGUACAGUAGGUUAUUCAUACCGGUAGUGUUAGUACGUACUCUCGCAUUAGCUUUUUGCAUUUCGAUCAUCUUACUAUCUUGUUAUGUAUGCUGCUUUUACAUGGUUUUUUGGUGUUGUCCCGUCUUGUUUCUUGUUAUUAUUGGGGAACCUAUGCUUGCCUAAGCCGAGGGUCUAUUGGAAACAGCCUCUCUACCUCCACAAGGUAGGGGUAAGGUCUGCGUACACACUACCCUCCCCGGACCCUACUAUGUGGGAUUAUACUGGGUAUGUUGUUGUUGUUAUUGUUUCCUCUCACCCAAAAGGUCAAUUCAUUUCAAUUUCACGCCCGUUUUCUUUGUAAUUUGAAGCUAUCAAGGAGAAGCGGAUGAAAUCAAUAGUUUGGUAUUCGUAUUAUGUAGCAAAAUAUCACCUUCUAAAUCACGUGAAAAUUGUUUUAUGCUUUAACAGUUAACGAGCAACAUUAUGAAACAUUACUGUCUAAGAACUCGCA